rnacentral:misc_RNA from 1 species
AAAGAUCGCAGCCUUCGGCAGCUCCUGCAUGGGAAUGCGUACACCCAUAGAAGCUGCCGAAGGCUGCGAUCUUU